rfam:Schistosoma mansoni strain Puerto Rico chromosome 2, complete genome
AGCCUCCUGAAUCCGUGCCGAGAUUUCGUCUGACACCAGGCCAUUAGUACUGAUGAAACUCUCAAGAUAAGUGAAGUG